rnacentral:lncRNA from 1 species
AAAAGAUCAAGAACUAUCUUCAUGAUUAUAUCCCAGUACCUAUAAUAGAACCCGGAAAAAUAAUAUUACAUAAAUCCUCUGUCAAUGUCAUAAUUCCAACAGGUUUGAAAAUUUUCUGUGCUAUAUGGUAUCUCAAUAAUUCCUGGUCACUUUGAGAACAAAAAUGUUUACUAAUGACAGUUGUCCUCUUAUGAAAAUGUUUGCUCUCUUUGAAAAUCUCUUCAGGGUGGUUUUUUUUUUUUUGUACAAGUAUGUAAAAACCCUUUGUAGCCAUUAAACAAAAGCUGAAGUUUUAAAAGCAUAUGUAAAACUGCAAAUCCAUCUCAGUCUAAACAAUACAGUGUUUGGUAGCUCUACAGAAGCAAAUCUGUUUGAACAUGUGUACAGUUCUCCAGGAUCCUGAGGAGUAUAAACCUGACACUCUCCUACCAAGGAUCAGUCAGAUUUCUAUCUUGGUCUGUUUAAUUACCCUGGUGCAUCUGUCCUUUCUCUUGUACUCUGAUGCACUAUAUACUCUUUACAUCUGUACCUAAGACUUUCUUUUCUAUUAACACCUUCAUCUUAUUUCUUUAGCAGAUUGUAAGAUAAAGAAUUAUAUCUAAGUUGCCUCCCACCUAUAACUGUACAUAUUCUAGUACAAGGAAGGUAUGUGUACUGUUACAAUUCUAAGUAAUCAUUAGAAUGAUACAUGAAAAUAGAUUGUUUUGAAAGUGUGCUGUGAAUGCAAAUUAAAAAUAUAUGUGAUAUAAGCUAAUGAAAUUCUUGGUAGAAGUAAAUUGAAAACCAGUAACAAAAACAUAAGGCUGUGCUUACAUUAGGAUAUGGAAAUUAACCUGAAGUGUCUAAUUUCUCCUCCAAAGGAAAGAGUUCCAAGGGAUAAAGCUGUGGCUUAAUCAGCAGCAUGCAUGCUGGGGUACGCAGGACAUCUUAUCUUUGGUCUUGAGCACUGCCUAAACUUGGUAGACUGACUCAUACCUAUGUUAUGAGGAACAAGAGACCAAGGUCAUUUUCUAUUGCACUGCAAAUGCCAAGCCAGUCUGGGCUACAUUAAACCUGUCUCCAAACAAACAAAUAGAAAACUUUUAAAAAGUAUGAAGUUAGUACCAUAUUUUUCCUCUAAACAAGACUUUCUAAAAGAACAAGUAUACAGUAAACAAAUGUCAGUGCUCAAAAUACAGUGGAAGAAAUUGAGACACAUUAUUAGAAGAACUCGACUGUAUGAGAAUUUGUCAAAGGUUGCACUGCAGUAUGCUUAAAAUAUCCCAGAGAAACUGACUGGGUUUUGAAAGAUAUUUCAUUGAAAAAUAAAGUCACAGAAAACCAAUAAACAUGUAUUUUUCUUUUUCUUAUUCUGGUCAGGAGUAAGAUGUUCUUAGUUACAUAUUCAGUUAGAUGAAAAACAAAGAUUGCCCUGAGAAAAUGCAUGGGUCUUUAGUUUAUAAACACAUGGAUAUUUU